rnacentral:rRNA from 1 species
AGUGAACGCUGGCGGUAGGCCUAACACAUGCAAGUCGAACGGCAGCACAGUAAGAGCUUGCUCUUACGGGUGGCGAGUGGCGGACGGGUGAGGAAUACAUCGGAAUCUACUUUUUCGUGGGGGAUAACGUAGGGAAACUUACGCUAAUACCGCAUACGACCUACGGGUGAAAGCAGGGGAUCUUCGGACCUUGCGCGAUUGAAUGAGCCGAUGUCGGAUUAGCUAGUUGGCGGGGUAAAGGCCCACCAAGGCGACGAUACGUAGCUGGUCUGAGAGGAUGAUCAGCCACACUGGAACUGAGACACGGUCCAGACGCCUACGAGAGGCAGCAGUGGGGAAUAUGGGACAAAGGGCGCAAGCCUGGUCCAGCCAUACCGCGUGGGUGAAGAAGGCCUUCGGGUUGUAAAGCCCUUUUGUUGGGAAAGAAAAGCAGCAGGUUAAUACCCCGCUGUUCUGACGGUACCCAAAGAAUAAGCACCGGCUAACUUCGUG